ensembl:lncRNA
AGGAGGUCCGAUUGGAGGAUGAGGCCGCAGUUGUGGGGGAGGGUAGCGGCUGUGCCGCUCCCUUCUGCCCUCUCUCUGACAGGAUCUGGUCAGUGUCCCGCUUCUGAGGGUCACGGCCCAGCUUACGAACACAAACUUAUCUUCCGUACAUCUGCCGGGCCGCCUGCGCAGUCAGUCUGUCUCCACGGCAGGCUGCGCUCUCUUUCCUGGUUGGGGGAUGCUUUGGUUGAGAAGAGCGACAGAGAGAGGGAGAAGGCCAGUGGGAAGGGGGGACAGAGUGGGAAACCAAGGAUCUAGACCCUGCCAAGACGCUGAGCUACAUGGAAAACACGAGCUGCCUCCAGGAUGGAGAUGACCUUUGAGUGACCAAUAGUGAAGCUCAACCCCGGCCCUUUCGCAGAGCAAGGGAAUGCUGGCUGCGUCUGCCCAGGAGAAAAUGACAACUUCAUUAGAAGGGCUUGGAUAGAGCAGAGAGUGAGAAAACAAAUGACUGUGAGCGGUGUAGAUGGAGUGCAGAGAGCCUAACUCAGAGGAGUUCUACCUGCCAAAACCUUGUCUGCCUAACCUUAACCCAGACGAGAGAAUUAGGAGAUAAUGUUUGUACAACCAGAAAUCACUGUAAUAAAAUUAGAAUGGGAGACCUAUCAUUAAAAUGUAAAAUGGUAAACUUCUUUUGUGCUUCUUUGGAAGCACAUUUUUUCAGUCUUUGCAAAUAGGGGUGUGUCAUCAGAAUUUAAUGAAUAAGAAUUGGAUUUAGAAUGAAAUUGGAUUAGAUUUUUUUCCCUUAGAAUACAAGAACCUGUGCACUGAAAAAAGUAGUAACCGGCAACUUACCUCAACCUAGUGUAACCUAGAGGAAUCAAGUUGUUUCAGGGAUGAAUUUAAUUUAGUUGUUCAGAUGCCUU